rnacentral:ncRNA from 1 species
UUUGCCGUGAGGCAUGCAGUGAAGUAAGCCAGACUGCGGUGUCUGUACUGACGAACAGAGCCUGUCCCGAAAAUCGGGAAACCAUAUACGGAGGCUAUGAGGUCGGAUGAGGUGACACAUCAUACCGAAGUCCGAACCUUCCGCAAGGGAGGAAGUGCCGAAGUAGUAGAUAUGGCAGAGAUAGGCACAAGGAUAUUCAC